AUUGAACGCUGGCGGAAUGCUUUACACAUGCAAGUCGAACGGCAGCACGGGUGCUUGCACCUGGUGGCGAGUGGCGAACGGGUGAGUAAUGCACCGGAACGUAUCCAAUAAUGGGGGAUAACGCACCGAAAGGUGUGCUAAUACCGCAUACGCCCUGAGGGGGAAAGCGGGGGAUCGUAAGACCUCGCGUUAAUGGAGCGGCCGAUGCCGGAUUAGCUAGUUGGUGAGGUAAAGGCUCACCAAGGCGACGAUCCGUAGCUGGUCUGAGAGGACGACCAGCCACACUGGAACUGAGACACGGUCCAGACUCCUACGGGAGGCAGCAGUGGGGAAUUUUGGACAAUGGGCGCAAGCCUGAUCCAGCCAUUCCGCGUGAGUGAAGAAGGCCUUCGGGUUGGUU
rnacentral:rRNA from 1 species